UAAUAGUGUAUAUUAAAGUUGUUGCAGUUAAAAAGCUCGUAGUUGAAUGUUGGUGUCGAACGAGCGGUCAGCUUCGGCUGUACUGCUCUCUCGACUCCUUCCUUCUGUGGACUACGUCGCACUUUACUGUGUGGCGCUAGGACGCAGAUCGUUUACUGUGAAAAAAUUAGAGUGUUCAAAGCAGGCCGUACGCUUGAAUACAUUAGCAUGGAAUAAUGGAAUAGGACGUCGGGCCUAUUUUGUUGGUUCUAGGACCGUCGUAAUGAUUAAUAGGGACAGUUGGGGCCGUUUAUAUUCCGUAGUCAGAGGUGAAAUUCUUGGAUUUGUUAAAGACGGACUACUGCGAAAGCAUUUGCCAAGGAUGUUUUCAUUGA
rnacentral:rRNA from 1 species